rnacentral:rRNA from 1 species
UGCGUAGGGGGCCAGCGUUGCUCGGAAUAACUGGGCGUAAAGGGUUCGUAGGCGGUGCGGCAAGUUGGGAGUGAAAUCUCUGGGCUUAACCCAGAGACUGCUUUCAAAACUGCCGUGCUAGAGUGUGGGAGAGGCCAGUGGAAUUGCAGGUGUAGCGGUGAAAUGCGUAGAUAUCCGCAGGAACAUCCGAGGCGAAAGCGGCUCGCUGGAUCACAACUGACGCUGAGGGACGAAAGCUAGGGGAGCAAACAGG